GUUUCUGUAGUGUAGUGGUUAUCACGUUCGCCUCACACGCGAAGGCCAGUCGCACGUAGGUGUA